UUUCAGGCUUAGAUUCGGCUGUUUUCUUGAAAAACUAAGUUUCCUUAAAGAUUGCUUCUUCUGCUUAAUAUCACGUCAAGCCGAGUGAUAAGGUCAAGCAAAUGUCCAUGCAUAUAUACAUGGUAAUACACAAAUCGCUUGUGCAUUGUGAAUUUUUGACUGACAAUACUUGAGGAAAUAACUAAAAUUUUCUUUGGACUUUUCUGUGUUCACAGACAUAUGUAUAUUUCCCAUCUAUACGAUUUACAGGAAAAGGUUUCCCAAUAUUCCAUCAAGAGGCAUUUAUAUCUGCCGAUACUCGAUACUCAUCAUAGACGUUGCCCCAGCUCAGCCUAGCUUGUGCCGCAGUAUCCAGCACUACGUCCUUGCCCCCCUUCUGGCCUUUACGAUGUGGCCCCUCGGAGCUGCAAAUUGGAAGGAACAUGUGAAAAACCUAUAAGGAGAUGAGCCCAGUCAGCGAACUUACCGUCAAUUCAACCAGGAGUGCAUCCAUGUUCAUUGGAACCCCCAGAACAAAAGAUCUCAAUGUCAUGGGCUCGGUGGUUUGCUAACCAGGGACCGUUGGCCAUCGCGAGAUUAUCUCGUUUUAAGGCGACAUAACUUCGCCACGUGGACUGUGAAUUCAUUCGAUAUAUUUUGUUAUAGUAUUCUAUUAUGCCAUCCAUCCCUCUGGGCCAAAUAAUAUCUUAUUUUGUAAUAA